CGGCCCAGACUCCUACGGGAGGCAGCAGUAGGGAAUCUUCCGCAAUGGGCGAAAGCCUGACGGAGCAAUGCCGCGUGAGUGAUGAAGGUUUUCGGAUCGUAAAGCUCUGUUGCCAGGGAAGAACGCUUGGGAGAGUAACUGCUCUCAAGGUGACGGUACCUGAGAAGAAAGCCCCGGCUAACUACGUGCCAGCAGCCGCGGUAAUACGUAGGGGGCAAGCGUUGUCCGGAAUUAUUGGGCGUAAAGCGCGCGCAGGCGGUCAUUUAAGUCUGGUGUUUAAUCCCGGGGCUCAACCCCGGAUCGCACUGGAAACUGGGUGACUUGAGUGCAGAAGAGGAGAGUGGAAUUCCACGUGUAGCGGUGAAAUGCGUAGAUAUGUGGAGGAACACCAGUGGCGAAGGCGACUCUCUGGGCUGUAACUGACGCUGAGGCGCGAAGCGUGGGGAGCAACAGGAUAGAUACCCUGGUAGUCCACGCCGUAACGAUGGUGCUAGUGUUAGGGGUUUCGAUACCUUGGUGCCAAGUUACACAUUAGCACUCCGCCGGGGAGUACGGUCGCAGACUGAACUCAAGGAUUGACGGGACCG
rnacentral:rRNA from 1 species